CCUACGGGGCGCAGCAGUGAGGAAUAUUGGUCAAUGGCCGAGAGGCUGAACCAGCCAAGUCGCGUGAGGGAAGACGGCCCUACGGGUUGUAAACCUCUGUUGUCGGGGAGCAAAGCGAACCACGUGUGGUUCAUUGAGAGUACCCGAAGAAAAAGCAUAGGCUAACUCCGUGCCAGCAGCCGCGGUAAUACGGAGGAUGCGAGCGUUAUCCGGAUUUAUUGGGUUUAAAGGGUGCGGAGGCGGAGGUGCAAGUCAGCGGUCAAAUUGCGGGGCUCAACCCCGUACUGCCGUUGAAGCUGCAUCCCUUGAGUGCGCGAGAAGUAUGCGGAAUGCGUGGUGUAGCGGUGAAAUGCAUAGAUAUCACGCAGAACUCCGAUUGCGAAGGCAGCAUACCGGCGCGCAACUGACGCUCAUGCACGAAAGCGUGGGUAUCGAACAGGAUUAGAUACCCCAGUAGUC
rnacentral:rRNA from 1 species